GUGUAGGUGGAACCAGAUUACCUUACAGUUUUUCCCCUCGAAAUCAACGGAAAUCAACGGAGUACUCUAUUUAAAAAGGUCACCAUCUUCUACUAGCACUUUUGUGAGCAACAAUACCGAGAGCUUCCAAAGGCAGGUCAACAGAAACUGAGGCAUAAGCCAUCGGAGCAACUAGAGAUAAAAUAUUUUUAUCCACAGCAAGAGAACAGAGAAUUGACAAGAGCAGCAGUUCCCUUCCACAACCAGCAGAGAUCAGCAAU